rnacentral:lncRNA from 1 species
CCUCCUCUUGUUAACAUGUAACUCUUGUGUUGUACAUUACCAUACUUGUACUCUUAGAUUACAGGAUCUGUAGUGACUCCCUAGGCCUGUGUGCCCCUUUUCUCCGUCUACUUCUCUCUCUCACGAGUACAUAUGUGUAACAUUCUCUCUCUCACGAGUACAUAUGUGUAACAGUUGUAUGAGAUCAAUCUAGUGAAGGCAAAC